rnacentral:rRNA from 1 species
UACGUAGGGGGCAAGCGUUGUCCGGAAUCAUUGGGCGUAAAGCGCGUGUAGGCGGUCCGGUAAGUCCGCUGUGAAAGUCGGGGGCUCAACCCUCGGAUGCCGGUGGAUACUGUCGGGCUUGAGUACGGAAGAGGCGAGUGGAAUUCCUGGUGUAGCGGUGAAAUGCGCAGAUAUCAGGAGGAACACCGGUGGCGAAGGCGGCAUCCUGGACCAAUACUGACGCUGAGGAGCGAAAGCCAGGGGAGCAAACGGG